GCAAUUUUGUCUCCAAAACCCCUACUCUAGAUGACAUUGAAUUGCCUGCAUAUAGCGAGACCCAGAUUGUUGCUAUUGAAAAUAGUUACUAUUCUAACAAUGUCACUCCGGAACAACAGCCAAGACUCAGAAAGACUGGAAAAUACAAAUCAUCUCCGUAUGUUGGUUUUAGUUCAGCUGGCAGCAGCUCGGGUAAAUCACCUAUAUAUUUCAACAUAAAACAUCCUUUUGCAAAUUACAAUGGAUUCGAAGUUGAUGAUGCACUGCUCAAUGAAUUUACAUCUUGGGUAUAUGCUAAAGUCUCUAAACGAAAGAACAGAAUUUCAGCAUACACUUUAAAGGACAACAAGAUUGUCAAUCCUUAUGAUUUGGGAGUUAAGAAAGUUGACAAAAUGGAGUAGUUCUACAAUGUCAUUCAAACUGGGAAAGCGUGGGAAGACUCGCAUGUUGAUGUCAUUAUGUAUUACUUGAGGAAAAAAGCAAAGUAUGGUCCAAAUAACCCAGUGUACACAACAACAGAUUGUUUUUUCAUAAAGUGGGUUGAGGCUAUCCACAAGCAGUACAAGGAAUAUAAAAAUGAUAAGCGUUUUAUUACUGCUGAUCAUAAUGUGGCAAAAAUUAUUCGUGGGUUUAAAUUGAUUGCAAAUAUUGCUUGGGAUAGAGUUGAUAAUGUGCUCAUCGCAGUCAAUAUAAGCAAAGAAUACCAUUGGGUGUUGGUUGUUUUAUGUAUGAAAAGAAGGUGUCUCUAUGUAUAUGAUUCAUUCCCGGGUGGGGCGAUGCAUACUAAUUCAAUUCGAGAAGUUGUUGAAAGGCUGGCCACCAUGAUACCUCUCUUUUUCAAUUGCACUAGAUUUUAUGGGAAAAGGAAUGACAUAAACUGGAUAACUGAACCAUCAUAUGUUGGGAAGAGCUUUGAUGAUCCUUUGGAAUAUGUCUUUGUGGAUCAUUUGCCAGAACAAC